rnacentral:rRNA from 1 species
GACGAACGCUGGCGGCGUGCUUAACACAUGCAAGUCGAACGGAAAGGCCCUGCUUUUGUGGGGUGCUCGAGUGGCGAACGGGUGAGUAACGCGUGAGUAACCUGCCCUUGACUUUGGGAUAACUUCAGGAAACUGGGGCUAAUACCGGAUAGGAGCUCCUGCUGCAUGGUGGGGGUUGGAAAGUUUCGGCGGUUGGGGAUGGACUCGCGGCUUAUCAGCUUGUUGGUGGGGUAGUGGCUUACCAAGGCUUUGACGGGUAGCCGGCCUGAGAGGGUGACCGGCCACGUUGGGACUGAGAUACGGCCCAGACUCCUACGGGAGGCAGCAGUGGGGAAUAUUGCACAAUGGGCGGAAGCCUGAUGCAGCAACGCCGCGUGCGGGAUGACGGCCUUCGGGUUGUAAACCGCUUUCGCCUGUGACGAAGCGUGAGUGACGGUAAUGGGUAAAGAAGCACCGGCUAACUACGUG